rnacentral:rRNA from 1 species
AUUAGAUACCCUGGUAGGUCCACGCCGCUAAACUAUGGAUGCUAGCUGUUAUUCGUAUCGACCCGAGUAGUAGCGAAGCUAACGCGUUAAGCAUCCCGCCUGUGGAGUACGGUCGCAAGACUAAAACAUAAAGGAAUUGACGGGGACCCGCACAAGCGGUGGAGCGUGUUGUUUAAUUCGAUGGUAAGCGAAGAACCUUACCCAGACUUGACAUCCUUGGAAGCACUGCGAAAGCAGAGUGUGCCUCCGGGAACCAAGUGACAGGUGUUGCAUGGCCGUCGUCAGCUCGUGUCGUGAGAUGUUUGGUUAAGUCCAUCAACGAGCGCAACCCUUGUGGCUAGUUGAAUUUUUCUAGUCAGACUGCCCUGGUAACAGGGAGGAAGGAGGGGAUGAUGUCAGGUCAGUAUUACCCUUACGUCUGGGGCUACAAACACGCUACAAUGGCCGGUACAAAGGGCUGCCAAGUCGCGAGACGGAGCAAAUCCCAUCAAAACCGGUCCCAGUUCGGAUUGCAGGCUGAAACUCGCCUGCAUGAAGUCGGAAUCGCUAGUAACGGUAGGUCAGCACACUACCGUGAAUACGUUCCCGGGUCUUGUACACACCGCCCGUCAAACCAUGAAAGUCGCCAAUACCUGACGUCUUAUCUAGUUCUAGGCCUAAGGUAGGGGAGAUGAUUGGGGUAAGUCGUAACAAGGUACC